rnacentral:tRNA from 1 species
GCGCCCGUAGCUCAGCCUGGAUAGAGUGGCGGGGUCCUAACCCGAAGGUCGAGGGUUCAAAUCCUUCCGGGCGCG